GACGAACGCUGGCGGCGUGCUUAACACAUGCAAGUCGAACGGAAAGGCCCUUCGGGGUACUCGAGUGGCGAACGGGUGAGUAACACGUGGGUGAUCUGCCCUGCACUCUGGGAUAAGCCUGGGAAACUGGGUCUAAUACCGGAUAUGAUCAUGCGCCUCAUGGUGUGUGGUGGAAAGCUUUUGCGGUGUGGGAUGGGCCCGCGGCCUAUCAGCUUGUUGGUGGGGUAAUGGCCUACCAAGGCGACGACGGGUAGCCGGCCUGAGAGGGUGACCGGCCACACUGGGACUGAGAUACGGCCCAGACUCCUACGGGAGGCAGCAGUGGGGAAUAUUGCACAAUGGGCGCAAGCCUGAUGCAGCGACGCCGCGUGGGGGAUGACGGCCUCGGUGUAACUCUUCUAGUACCGACGAAGACGUAAGUGACGGUAGGUACGAGAAGAAGACGACC
rnacentral:rRNA from 1 species